GACGAACGCUGGCGGCGUGCCUAAUACAUGCAAGUAGAACGCAGUUGCGACCGGAUGAGUAACGCGUCGGUAACUGACUGGAAGCGGGGGAUAACUAUUGGAAACGAUAGCUAAUACCGCAUACUACCAGAUGGACCUGCGUUGUAUUAGCUAGUUGGUGCGGUAACGGCUCACCAAGGCAACGAUACAUAGCCGACCUGAGAGGGUGAGCGGCCACAAUGGGACGUAGACACGGCCCAGACUCCUACGGGAGGCAGCAGUAGGGAGUCUUCGGCAAUGGGGGGAACCCUGACCGAGCAACGCCGCGGGAGUGAAGAAGGUUGUCGGAUCGGAAAGCUCUGUUGUUAAGGAAGCGGUACUUACCCAGAAAGGGACGGCUAACGACGUGCCAGCAGCCGCGGUAAUUC
rnacentral:rRNA from 1 species